AGUCUAGCAUAGCUAGAAGAUUUGGAAUACCUAUGCUUCCAUCAUCAACUUCACUUUUUCUACUGAUCCAUUACUUAAUAGAUCUAUCUAUUCUUAUAAUCCUCAAUGCUCAAUUCACCACUUUGCUAUACCUCAGUUCAUCAAACUUACCACACAUUAUGAGUUCAGGAACUUGCCACCAUCAUAUGAGUUUAAGAACUUUCCUAGACAGACCUUUGGCGUCCAUUCGCUAAGAGGUCCAUAAACAUUUCAUAUAAUCACGAGUCACGAACGUACCAUAAGUAUGAGUUUUAAGAACUCGCAACUUAACCUUAUAUCAUCUACCUAUUCGUUAUACACAUGAGAAAAGAAUCACCUUCUCAACAUGCAUAUAACAAAUAGCGCGACAUAAACAUUUCAAUGAUUAUCAGUGCCAGAAACUAAGUGGUUUUUACACCAAGUACAAUUCAGCUCCCAUACGAAGAAUCAUACAACUCAGCUGCCGACAUGAGUCCUCAAUUGAAUCCCCACCUAACACUAACCCCUUCUC
rnacentral:lncRNA from 1 species